UAGAAAAUAGUAUAAUGGGUAGUACGUGAAGUUUUGGGCUUUGUGGGUCUAGGUUUGAGGCCUGUUUUUCUA
rnacentral:tRNA from 1 species